AGAACGAACGUUAGCGGCGCGCCUAACACAUGCAAGUCGCACGAGAAAGGGCUUCGGCCCCGGUACAGUGGCGCACGGGUGAGUAACACGUAGAUAAGCUUCCCUCGAGUGGUGGAUAACUCUCCGAAAGGAGAGCUAAUACAGCAUGAGACCACGGCUUCGUUGAAGCUGCGGCCAAAGCAGGCCUCUACACGUAAGCUUGCGCUUGAGAAUGAGUCUGCGGCCCAUCAGCUAGUUGGUAGGUAAUGGCCUACCAAGGCUAAGACGGUAGCUGGUCUGAGAGGAUGAACAGCCACACUGGAACUAGAGACACGGCCAGACUCCUACGGGAGGCAGCGAGUGGGGAAUCGUUAGCG
rnacentral:rRNA from 1 species